UGCCAAGUGAUGUCAGAAACCAGGGUUAGGCCUUGAAGGCUAGCAUGCAAGUGCUGUUGGCUAGCUCGCAAGGACAGCAACCUGCCUCCACCAACAGAAAGCAGCCCCGCACAUGCGUUCACGCACGGUGUCUUGUUGUGUGCCUAAGAAUGGAGGCUCAUCUUGUUCAGGGGAGAAGAGAGUGAAGGAUUGUUUAAUAAAG
rnacentral:lncRNA from 13 species